AGAAAAAGGGGCUACGUUGGUGACCAGCGGAGGGUCAUUACCGAGUUUACAACUCCCAAACCCCUGUGAACAUACCAAUUGUUGCCUCGGCGGAUCAGCCCGCUCCCGGUAAAACGGGACGGCCCGCCAGAGGACCCCUAAACUCUGUUUCUAUAUGUAACUUCUGAGUAAAACCAUAAAUAAAUCAAAACUUUCAACAACGGAUCUCUUGGUUCUGGCAUCGAUGAAGAACGCAGCAAAAUGCGAUAAGUAAUGUGAAUUGCAGAAUUCAGUGAAUCAUCGAAUCUUUGAACGCACAUUGCGCCCGCCAGUAUUCUGGCGGGCAUGCCUGUUCGAGCGUCAUUUCAACCCUCAAGCCCUCGGGUUUGGUGUUGGGGAUCGGCGAGCCCUUGCGGCAAGCCGGCCCCGAAAUCUAGUGGCGGUCUCGCUGCAGCUUCCAUUGCGUAGUAGUAAAACCCUCGCAACUGGUACGCGGCGCGGCCAAGCCGUUAAACCCCCAACUUCUGAAUGUUGACCUCGGAUCAGGUAGGAAUACCCGCUGAACUUAAGCAUAUCAUAUUGGGAAGGAAA
rnacentral:rRNA from 1 species